AGAAGAAGAAGAAGAAGAAGAAGAAGAAGAAGAAGAUGAUGCUCUCAGACUCACGCAUGCGCACUGCAGACAUGCACUGAUAGGCUCACGCAUGCGCACUUCAGACGUACACGCACAGUUUAUGAACCCGCACUUUUUGCAGACAUUCAAAUGGUCUCAGAUGAACGUGUCACACGUAAUAAUUUUUUAUUUGAUCUCCACGACCAUACAGGAAUCAUUGUCCCCCACAUGCCAGUGACAAGCAGACUUCUUCUGGCUUGUCUUUAGGACCCGAGCGUGAAUCAACAUGCACACCAUGCAGUUUAGGACAAUGAAGUGUGUGGACCUCAAUGUGAAGAAGUCACAAAGUGCGAAAAAAUUACUGCCUGCCGAGCACCAUGGUCUUAGGGUGUUUUCACACUAGCACUUUUGCUUAAUGUCGGGGGUUAGCAGCCUGGUGCCAGCCCAUUUCUAGACUCCCAUCGCGCAUCUAGUUAUUGUCAUCAUCACAUUCUGGUCCAGGGAUAACAGUGUGAGGACUUGCCUAUCACUAGACUACACUAAUGAAGAAUACAGGCUAGAGGACACACGGCUUGUGGUGGCAUUAUCCAUCACACUGGGCCUGUUUGCCAUAGAGCUGAUUGGGUUCAUCUGUGGAGUCUCUAUGUUCAAAAACAAUCAAGCCCUUCUGUGUAUCCUUAUCUGUGAUCAUCAUUACUGCAGACUCAAUGAAUAGAUGUCAUUGGAUAGCAAAGCAGAAUUGUUUGAUAUCUUUACUUUCAUUAGCCUAGAAAUAACUGUGAGUAGUGCUACUCAAAACAAUCAAUACCAGUGAAAUUAUUGUGUCUGACCAUGACACUUGAUAGCAGUUUGUCAUUACUGAAUGUCGUUUUAAUGUUUAUGAUAUGACACUUAUAACUGGUACGGAAAGUUACUUGAAGUGAGUUUUUCUAUUUUUAUUUAUUUUUUUAACUGACCAGAGUUGGGAGGGUUAUUUUUGAAAUGUAUUCCACUACAGAUUACAGAAUACAUGCUGUAAAAUGUCAUUUGUAACGUAUUUCCUUAGAUUACUCAAGGUCAGUAACGUAUUUUAAAUACUUUGGAUUACUUCUUCAGCACUGGUAGAUUUUUACACUUGUUUUGACUAUAAAAACUCUGCCAGUACAGUGAGACAAAAUACACAUGUUAAAAAUACAUUCUCUGAAAAACCUAAAUAUUUUAUGCAGUGUUGUUUCUAAAAUGAGAUAAAUCAAAUUGAUCUUGUUUUAAGGAUUUUUAGAUAUCUUUACAGGAAAACAAUGCAAAAAUUAUUAUCAAGAAUAUGAUUUUUGCCCUAAUAUCAAAGGUCUUACUAGAAAAAAAAUAUGAUCCAGUGUGAAUUUUCUUGAUAAAUUAUGAUCGUGUCUGGUAACGUGCGUGUAAAAUGGCUAGAAGUAGCAUUUUAGCUUAGCGUAAAGCUAACAAUUUACACAAGGUUUAUUUCUAUUUAUUGUGCUCCAAACUUACUUCAAACUUACUUCUCUGUCUGCUCGUAUGAAUGUAACACAUCAUAAGAAAGUGUUUCACUGCUGUUCAAAUGCAGUUUGGAUCGCAUCAUUUAUAUGUAUAAAUGUUUUCCAUCUGAAAGGACUAAAUAUCAAAUGAAACAAAUGACAAUAAAAUGCAAAGUAAUCUCUUCAGUAAUCAAAAUACUUUUUGAAUGUAACUGUAUUCUAAAUACAAAUGAUUUAAAUUGUGGAAUACAGUUACUUAUAUUUUGUAUUUUAUAUACGUAAUCCCGUUACAUGUAUUCCGUUACUCCCCAACCCUGCUAGUGGCUCUGCUCUUCUUCCUGUUUGAGCAAUGGGCCUGCAGUAUCUACUGGUGGAUCUUUGGCUUCUGUAGGUCAGUAGGCUGCAACUUUCAUCCUCUCAUGAGUCACCUGUUUUGUGAAAGAUACAUACCAGGUGUCAUAAAUAUCAGAAAUCUUUCACUGAGCAUAUUCUGUAUCUCCACACAUACCCACUUAAUGUCAGAUAAUGUAAAAAGAGUUGAAGGCAUUUGUGAGAGCUGUUCUCUACAGAUUCUGCUCAGCUGAGGUAUACAAUAAUACCUUUGAAAGUGUUAUUAGAACAGUCAGUUUGUAACUUUGCAUAUCAAUGGUCUUGUACAUAAACUGAUUUCUGAAUUUAGAUGAGCAUGCCUCGUAACUUUUUGUAAUCAUUGUUUCUCUCUUCGCUAUACAUUCCAGUGUGAUUACAGCACUGUAUGAGAUUAUCCUUUUUUAUAGUAGUGUUGGGAUGUAAGAGGAAACCUCUGUGAGUGUUUCUGCCCUCCUUCCUGAUUUGCUGUUGGGGCAAUGAAUAUUGUCCUGCCAUGGCCGACAUAUAACAUGAAACCACGAUAACUUUCACUGGCACAAUAAACCAGAUUCUCUGAGCAUAUACAUUAUGCUUCUUUGGAUACUUCUCAAGUCACUAAGUUAUUAUCUUUGACAUCUUUUUAUGUAGAUGUAGUUAAAGUUGAAAAGUUUAAAGUUUUUUUUUAAAUCACCAUUUUUAUUAGUGUCAUAUUUUGUACUUUUUUGUGAUGUAUUAAAGCAUUUUAUACAACAUACAGUAUACUGUAUCAUGCCAUCAGAUUCUUGAGAUAUACUUGACUGACAAUCUCUCAUGCUAACAUGUUUUGGUUUGCCAGUAUAGCCCCAACACAAAGAGACUGGUCUCAUCUAUUAGUAGGUUAGGUCUGAGUAUUGCUGUGGUUUAAGCUGGUUCUCAUUACUACAAAACAACACCUUAAUAAUGUUUUAAAACAAUGACACAGCAUGUUGUAAUACACUAUUAAAUAGCAUUCAUACUUCUCAUUGUUUGGCAGAUUACACAUACAUUUUAAUCACAUUUAAAACUGGAAAUUACAAGCACAGGCAACUGUAUAAGUGCAUUCACCACAUACAUAGAUCUUAAAGGAAUAUUCCAGGUUCAAUACAAGUUAAGCUCAAUCGACAGCAUUUGUGGCAUAAUAUUGAUUACCACAAAAGGAUUUUGUCUAGUCCCUCCUUCUCUUUAAAAAAAACAAAUAUCUGGGCUGAGGCACUUACAAUGGAAGUGGAUGGGGCCAAUUUAUUAAAGGUUUAAAGAAAGAAAUGUGAUAAAAGCACUUCCAUUAACACUACAUCAAGGUGCCCACUGCCAUGCUGUAGAACUGCCAAGAGAAGUUAGUUCUUCACAAGAGUGAAAUGUCAGUGAGACUCAGGUACAUUGUGAACUGAUUACUGCUGACUUCAACUGGACUGCCCACACACACACACACACACACUCAUUUAGAUGAAAACAAAUAAAUUGAACAGUGACUAGAAUGACACAAAUCUUUAAGAGUUUCAUAAAAAAUUACUUCACUGUGAAAAUAUUGUAGGCUAAUGUUUCAUGUGUACUGUUUUUCUUUUCAUCUGAUCUUGCUAUGUAUCAUUUUGUUUUUGCUCAAUAUCUGUCAGGUUACACACCAUAUGUGGGAAAGUAUCUUUUAAGAUGACUGAAUGUUAUUCAUAAAGAAGUUAUUUGUAUGCAUUGGCACACAAGCUUAGCUGUGAAUAGUCAUUACUCAUUUCAGGUGACCAGCCACCUACUGAACAGUUUAUAUUAUUUACUGUACUGAUAUGCAAAGGAAAUUUAUUUUCAUUUUAAAAUGACUCACAGGACUUUGGAAGGUCCAUUUAUUUAAAGGUGAAGUGUGUUAUUUGUCUGAUGUCAAAAGAAUAUUCCGGGUUCAAUAAAAGGUAAGCUCAGUCGACAGCAUUUAUGGCAUAAUGUUGAUUUUAUAUAUAUAUAUAUAUAUAUAUAUAUAUAUAUAUAUGACAAGUCUGGGUUACAGUGAGUCACUUACAAUGGAAGUGAAUGGGGCCAAUACAUUUAAAAAAAAAAUACUCAUUAUUUAAAAAGUAUAGCCACAAGACGUAAACAAUAUGCAUGUUAACAUGAUUUUAGUGUGAUAAAAUUGCUUACCUUUUUCUGUGUAAAGAUAUAUCCAAUUUUACAAUGUUCGGUGCCAUGAUGACGCAACACUGUAAACCAUGAAAUGACUGCAAAAAUGAUGAUUUAUACAACCAUACAGAUCACAUAAUACACAAAUUUUAACAGAAGAAUUAAUGCAAGUGUUUUUAUAAAGUUUCUGCCUUUAAACCCCCAUUCACUUCCACUGUAAGUGCCUCACUGUAACCUCGAUUUUUGCUUUUAUUUUUCAAAGAAAAGUAGGGAAGAGUGGAUUUUUAUUUAUUUUUGGUGGUAAUCAACAUUUAGCCACAAAUGUUUUUGGGAAGCCUGUUUAGAAAUCAUUUUCUGAAAUUAAGAUUAUCAGGAUGAUAUUUGACACUGUUUUUUUUAAUACUUAUUUUAAAUGUAAGGACUUGCAAUUUAAACUCAGUGUAUCAGUAAGAGAAUCUCAAGAUCUUCCUUUCUGCUCUGGUGGCACCUGUUCGUGUACCCUGAUUUUCUUUAAUAUCAAUACCUCCAUUUCCACAAAAAAUCCCUCAUAUCCUCUACAUAAUCCAACCACUUGUCCCAAUUUAAAUAAACCAUACCAAUAAAUAAAACAACUUCAGCUGCAUCGGCCUGUUUUUAAUAAGCUCUACUCUGUGUACACAACCCUAUUUCCUCUGCAUCUCAUGCAGCUGUCUCCACACAUAUUAUCGGCACGCUUUGCUCUCCAUUGUUAUUUUAGUCUUUGUCUCUGUUUGCCAUGGCCCACCUCAUUCCCUGACCCCUCCACUCUCUGUCACAUAAUGAAAGCUCUCUUCACCUAGGCCAAUUAGUGUCAGCUAGACACCAACAACAU